GUCUUUGGUCAUCCUACCCUGAAUGCAUAUGGUCUCAUUUGCUCUUGGAAGCUAAGCAGAAUUGUGCCUGAUUAGUAUGUGGAUGGGAUAAAGUCUAUUUUAAAUGUGGGUUAUAGAAGAAU
ensembl:rRNA nuclear encoded rRNA 5S 26